rnacentral:rRNA from 1 species
CAGUACCGCGGUAAUACGAAGGGGGCUAGCGUUGUUCGGAAUCACUGGGCGUAAAGGGUGCGUAGGCGGGAUCUUAAGUCAGGGGUGAAAUCCCGAGGCUCAACCUCGGAACUGCCUUUGAUACUGGGGUCCUUGAGUCCGGAAGAGGUGAGUGGAACUGCGAGUGUAGAGGUGAAAUUCGUAGAUAUUCGCAAGAACACCGGUGGCGAAGGCGGCUCACUGGUCCGGAACUGACGCUGAGGCACGACAGCGUGGGGAGCAAACAGGAUUAGAUACCCGCGUAGUCCCUGUCUCUUAUACA